UCGAGAAUCUUCGGCAAUGGGCGCAAGCCUGACCGAGCGACGCCGCGUGCGGGAUGAAGGCCUUCGGGUUGUAAACCGCUGUCAGAGGGGAGGAAAUCAACGGGGGUACUCCCCCGUAGUUGACCUAUCCUCAGAGGAAGGACGGGCUAAGUUCGUGCCAGCAGCCGCGGUAAGACGAACCGUCCGAACGUUAUUCGGAAUCACUGGGCUUAAAGGGUGCGUAGGCGGCGCAGAAAGUAGGGUGUGAAAUCCCUCGGCUUAACCGAGGAACUGCGCCCUAAACUACUGUGCUUGAGUGAGAUAGAGGUGAGCGGAACUUAGGGUGGAGCGGUGAAAUGCGUUGAUAUCCUAAGGAACACCGGUGGCGAAAGCGGCUCACUGGAUCUCUUCUGACGCUGAGGCACGAAAGCUAGGGUAGCAAACGG
rnacentral:rRNA from 1 species